GCGGUCGGGAUCGGAUGGUUUAAGAUGCCCGCCCCCCAAGCGGGAUGACCGGGUUCGAUUCCCGGCGGCCGCA
rfam:Lichtheimia corymbifera JMRC:FST:9682, FST 9682, WGS project CBTN01000000 data, contig: SCAF00043